UCCACGAUAGCUCAAUCGGCAGAGCAAGCGGCUGUUAACCGCUCGGUUCCAGGUUCGAGUCCUGGUCGUGGAG
rnacentral:tRNA from 2 species